UUAAAUGUAAGUCCUGUAUUGACUCUUUGCCUGUUUGAUGGUUCGUCGGAGGGCAUAGCGGGAUUUCAAAUAAGCGUCCGGGCUAGAGUCCCGCUGCUUGAAAGCGGCAGCUCUACCCUUUAGCGGCUGUUGCCUGUAAUCCAUGGCUUCUGGUUGGGGUAUGUACGUACGGUCACUGUGGGGACAAACACACAAACAACUCUGUCAACCCCUGAACUAAAAAGGAAGACGCUCAUUUGACGUUCUCCUUCUCCAGGUGGUUGUUCAGCUUCUCCUGGUGUUAAUGUUGAAGUCCUGGUCUGUUGCACGCAGUAAGCUUGGGCUGUUCAGAACCUAAUUGGGAAACCUGGAGAGAAGCAGGGUUCUCCACUGGAUUUUUUUUUACAAGGUGGUGCUGCCGAGUACGGCGGAGACACGGGGUACGGCGGAGACACGGGGUACGGCGGAGACACGGGGUACGGCGGAGUACGGCAGUGCUCUGUUUGGAUUAAGAGAUUUGUUCGUUUUUGAACACCUGUAACUGCCAUUUACUGCAAUCUAGAACAAAACACAAACCAGUAGUAAAUGUACAGUAAGUAGGUGGAGAGGGUUUUAGGGAAUAGCAGAAUACAGUAAAUGUACAGUAAGUAGGUGGAGAGGGUUUUAGGGAAUAGCAGAAUACAGUAAAUGUACAGUAAGUAGGUGGAGAGGGUUUUAGGGAAUAGCAGAAUACAGUACAUGUACAGUAAGUAGGUGGAGAGGGUUUUAGGGAAUAGCAGAAUACAGUAAAUGUACAGUAAGUAGGUGGAGAGGGUUUUAGGGAAUAGCAGAAUACAGUAAAUGUACAGUAAGUAGGUGGAGAGGGUUUUAGGGAAUAGCAGAAUACAGUAAAUGUACAGUAAGUAGGUGGAGAGGGUUUUAGGGAAUAGCAGAAUACAGUAAAUGUACAGUAAGUAGGUGGAGAGGGUUUUAGGGAAUAGCAGAAUACAGUAAAUGUACAGUAAGUAGGUGGAGAGGGUUUUAGGGAAUAGCAGAAUACAGUAAAUGUACAGUAAGUAGGUGGAGAGGGUUUUAGGGAAUAGCAGAAUACAGUAAAUGUACAGUAAGUAGGUGGAGAGGGUUUUAGGGAAUAGCAGAAUACAGUAAAUGUACAGUAAGUAGGUGGAGAGGGUUUUAGGGAAUAGCAGAAUACAGUAAAUGUACAGUAAGUAGGUGGAGAGGGUUUUAGGGAAUAGCAGAAUACAGUAAAUGUACAGUAAGUAGGUGGAGAGGGUUUUAGGGAAUAGCAGAAUACAGUAAAUGUACAGUAAGUAGGUGGAGAGGGUUUUAGGGAAUAGCAGAAUACAGUAAAUGUACAGUAAGUAGGUGGAGAGGGUUUUAGGGAAUAGCAGAAUACAGUAAAUGUACAGUAAGUGGGCAAGGUGGGCCUGAGAGACUCACAGGAUAUUGGUAUCCACAUUUUUAAACUACUAUUCCCCCAAAACGUAAUUUUUGUUACAUAAAUGCACUGUAAUUUAAGCUUUAAAGGUCCAAUGUGGCCGUUUUUAUCUCAAUAUCAAAGGAUUUCUGGGUAAUAAUUAAGUACGUUACUUUGAUUGUUUUCCAUUAAAGUUGUCAAAAACAAACAAAAAUAGCUUCUUAGCAAAGAGCAAUUUCUCAACAAGAAUUUUGCUUGGACUGUCUGGGAGUGGAAAACUAGCUGUUAUUGACAGAGGUUUGAAAUAGGGGUGUGAAGAAAUCCCUAAUAACUUUUUUUUUUAAAUACAAAAUGUAAAUCCCAGUGCAGCUGGCUGGCCUGCUCUUUCUCUUCACUAAUGAUGCCAGUGUGUGUUCAGUCUUCAGUCUGUUGCCUGUAGAAUAUACUAUCCUGUUCAUUGAUGAUAGGCCCUGCUUUACUGAAGUUGUGAGACAUUACAAGCCAAGAAAUUGUGAAAUACAGAAUUCCAUUGUGAGAUUCAGCUUUUGAUUAUUGAUAGAUAGGCCUAGUGCACGGUACUGACUGUCUGCCUGGUGACCGACCUGCCUAUACUGAUAGA